rnacentral:rRNA from 1 species
AUUGAACGCUGGCGGCAGGCCUAACACAUGCAAGUCGAGCGGAUGAAGGGAGCUUGCUCCUGGAUUCAGCGGCGGACGGGUGAGUAAUGCCUAGGAAUCUGCCUGGUAGUGGGGGAUAACGUCCGGAAACGGGCGCUAAUACCGCAUACGUCCUGAGGGAGAAAGGGGGGGAUCUUCGGACCUCACGCUAUCAGAUGAGCCUAGGUCGGAUUAGCUAGUUGGUGGGGUAAAGGCCUACCAAGGCGACGAUCCGUAACUGGUCUGAGAGGAUGAUCAGUCACUCUGGAACUGAGACACGGUCCAGACUCCUACGGGAGGCAGCAGUGGGGAAUAUUGGACAAUGGGCGAAAGCCUUAUCCAGCCAUGCCGCGUGUGUGAAGAAGGUCUUCGGAUUGUAAAGCACUUUAAGUUGGGAGGAAGGGCAGUAAGUUAAUACCUUGCUGUUUUGACGUUACCAACAGAAUAAGCACCGGCUAACUUCGUG